rnacentral:rRNA from 1 species
UACGUAGGGGGCAAGCGUUGUUCGGAAUUACUGGGCGUAAAGGGCGCGUAGGCGGCCUGCUAAGUCGAACGUGAAAUCCCUGGGCUCAACCCAGGAACUGCGUCCGAUACUGGUUGGCUUGAAUCCGGGAGAGGGAUGUGGAAUUCCAGGUGUAGCGGUGAAAUGCGUAGAUAUCUGGAGGAACACCGGUGGCGAAGGCGGCAUCCUGGACCAAUAUUGACGCUGAGGAGCGAAAGCUAGGGGAGCAAACGGG